CCUACGGGAGGCUGCAGUGAGGAAUAUUGGUCAAUGGGCGAGAGUCUGAACCAGCCAAGUAGCGUGAAGGAUGACUGCCCUAUGGGUUGUAAACUUCUUUUGUAUGGGAAUAAAACAGGGUAUGCAUACCCUCUUGUAUGUACCAUAUGAAUAAGGAUCGGCUAACUCCGUGCCAGCAGCCGCGGUAAUACGGAGGAUCCGAGCGUUAUCCGGAUUUAUUGGGGUUAAAGGGAGCGUAGGUGGAUUGUUAAGUCAGUUGUGAAAGUUUGCGGCUCAACCGCAAAAUUGCAGUUGAAACUGGCAGUCUUGAGUACAGUAGAGGUGGGCGGAAUUCGUGGUGUAGCGGUGAAAUGCUUAGAUAUCACGAAGAACGCCGAUGGCGAAGGCAGCUUACUGGACUGCAACUGACACUGAGGCUCGAAAGUGAGGGUAGCAAACAGGAUUAGAUACCCGGGUAGUC
rnacentral:rRNA from 1 species